UUUAUUUGCCUCUGUACUCCACAAUUUGAAAUUUGUAAUAGAAAAAAAAUCAUAUGUGGUUAAAGUGCACAUUGCCAGAUUUUAAUAAUGGCCAUUUUUAAUACAUGUUGGUGUCACCAUGUAGAAAUUACUGCAGUGUUUAUACGUAGUCCCCCCAUUUCUAUGGAUGUUCAUUGAAAUCUUCUGUGGC